GAUGAACGCUGGCGGCGUGCUUAACACAUGCAAGUCGAACGAAGCAACUUAUAUGAUUCCCUUCGGGACUGAUUAAUUUGUGACUGAGUGCCGGAGGGGUGAUUAACGCGGGGGUAACUUGCUUUGUCAAGGGGGAUAACAGUGGGAAACGGCUGCUAUUCCCGCAUAAACGAUAAUCACACAAUGCUGCAGGGUGAAAAACUCCGGUGGCAUAAGAUGGACCCGCGUCGAAUUAGCUAGUUGGUGAGGUAAAGGCCCACCAAGGCGACGAUCGUUAGCCGGCCUGAGAGGGUGACCGGCCACAUUGGAACUGAGACACGGUCCAAACUCCUACGGGAGGCAGCAGUGGGGAAUAUUGCACAAUGGACGAAACCCUGAUGCAGCGACGCCGCGUGAGCGAAGAAGGAUUUCGGGAUGUAAAGUUCUUUUAGAAGGGAAGAUAAUGACGGUACCAGACUAAGAAGCCCCGGCUAACUACGUG
rnacentral:rRNA from 1 species